rnacentral:rRNA from 1 species
AAUUUUGAAGGGCCGCAGUAUUCUGACUGUGCAAAGGUAGCAUAAUCAUUUGCCUUUUAAUUAAAGGCUAGUAUGAAUGGUUGAACGAAAUACAAACUGUCUCACUUUUAUAAUUAUAAUAAUUUAGCUUUCUAGUUAAAAGGCUUGAAUAUUAUUAGAGGACGAGAAGACCCUAUAGAACUUUAUAUAAUUUUAUGUAAAUAUUUAUAGUAAAAUAAUUUUAUUUACUUAUCUUUAUAUUUUGUUGGGGUGACAGGAAAAUUAAUAAAACUUUUUUGACAUGAAGCCAUUGAUUUAUGAAUAUUUGAUCCAUUAUUAUUGAUUAUUAGAAUAAGUUACCUUAGGGAUAACAGCGUAAUUUUGUUGGAGAGUUCAUAUCUAUAACAAAGUUUGCGACCUCGAUGUUGAAUUAAAGAAAUUUUAGAGUGCAGAAGCUUUAAGUAAUAGGUCUGUUCGACCUUUAAAUCUUUACAUGAUCUGAGU